GAGUUUGAUCCUGGCUCAGGAUGAACGCUGGCGGCGUGCCUAAUACAUGCAAGUCGAGCGCGUGAAAUUAAACAGAUCUCUUCGGAGUGACGUUUAAUGGAUCGAGCGGCGGAUGGGUGAGUAACACGUGGGCAACCUGCCUAUAAGACUGGGAUAACUUACGGAAACGUGAGCUAAUACCGGAUAAAACCUUUUGUCUCCCGACAAGAGGAUAAAAGAUGGCGCAAGCUAUCACUUAUAGAUGGGCCCGCGGCGCAUUAGCUAGUUGGUGAGAUAAAAGCUCACCAAGGCAACGAUGCGUAGCCGACCUGAGAGGGUGAUCGGCCACACUGGGACUGAGACACGGCCCAGACUCCUACGGGAGGCAGCAGUAGGGAAUCUUCCGCAAUGGACGAAAGUCUGACGGAGCAACGCCGCGUGAACGAAGAAGGUCUUCGGAUCGUAAAGUUCUGUUGUUAGGGAAGAACACGUACCAUUCGAAUAGGGUGGUACCUUGACGGUACCUAACGAGAAAGCCCCGGCUAACUACGUGCCAGCAGCCGCGGUAAUACGUAGGGGGCGAGCGUUGUCCGGAAUCACUGGGCGUAAAGGGCGUGUAGGCGGCCUGUUAAGUCAGCGUGAAAACCCCGGGCUUAACCUGGGGACUGCGCUUGAAACUGGCGGGCUUGAGGGCAGGAGAGGAAAGUGGAAUUCCCGGUGUAGCGGUGAUAUGCGUAGAUACCAGGAAGGAACACCAGUGGCGAAGCGGCUUUCUGGACUGCACCUGACGCUGAGCGCGAAAGCCAGGGAGCGAACGGGAUUAGAUACCCCGGUAGUCCUGGGCCGUAAACGAUGGGUACUACGUGUGGGANUAUCGACUCCUUCCGUGNCGGAGUUACACAAUAAGUACCCCNCUGGGGAGUACGGCCGCAAGGCUGAAACUCAAAGGAAUUGACGGGGGCCCGCACAAGCGGUGGAGCAUGUGGUUUAAUUCGAUGCAACGCGAAGAACCUUACCAGGUCUUGACAUCUUCCUGCCAGGUAUGGAAACAUACCCUUCCUUCGGGACAGGAAGAUAGGUGGUGCAUGGCUGUCGUCAGCUCGUGUCGUGAGAUGUUGGGUUAAGUCCCGCAACGAGCGCAACCCUCAUCCUUAGUUGCCAGCGGUCCGGCCGGGCACUCUAAGGAGACUGCCAGUGACAAACUGGAGGAAGGUGAGGAUGACGUCAAGUCAUCAUGCCCCUUAUGACCUGGGCCACACACGUGCUACAAUGGCCGGUACAGAGCGCUGCGAACCCGCGAGGGGGAGCGAAUCGCAAAAAGCCGGUCCCAGUUCGGAUUGCAGGCUGAAACUCGCCUGCAUGAAGCCGGAGUUGCUAGUAAUCGCGAAUCAGCAUGUCGCGGUGAAUACGUUCCCGGGCCUUGUACACACCGCCCGUCACACCAUGAGAGUUGGCAAUACCCGAAGUCCGUGGGGCAACCAGCAAUGGAGCCAGCGGCCGAAGGUAGGGUCAGCGAUUGGGGUGAAGUCGUAACAAGGUAACCAUCUUCUAGAAGAUCUCCCUACAAAA
rnacentral:rRNA from 1 species